UAUUUUAUUUUUCAGAUAUUCAAGCUCCAACCCAAAUGCACUGAACCAAACACACAUCUCUGUGGGUCGUCGUGUUACAAUCCAAAGCAAAAUCGCUGCUGUGAGAGUAACCACGAGCCUCACUCACUCGACAACUCAGGUCAAAGGAAGGCCACAGCCACCGUGUAUAACCCACAUACUCAGGUCUGCUGUGAUGGACGUGUAUCUCCGUGGAAGCCUUGGAUCGAUCAGGUAAUGUACUAAUUGCUCCCCACCCCCUACUGGGAAA